rnacentral:rRNA from 1 species
AUGAUGUACCCCGCGACGACCCGCUCGCCCGAGUUCCUCGGCCUGAGGAAGGACGCCGGCUUGUGGUCGAAAUCUAGCUACGGCAAAGGGAUCAUCAUCAGGGUGAUCAACUCCGGCAUCGAGUCGCGCCAUCCCUCGUUCGACGACGCCGGCAUGUCGCCACCGCCCGCCAGGUGGAAGGGCACGUGCACGGGCUUGGUCAGGCCCGUCCGGUGCAACAACAAGCUCAUUGGCGUCAGGUCCUUCGUGGACUACAACCCUGCCGACGUGACCGGCCACGGCAUGCACGUGGCGUCGAUUGCGGCGGGCAACUUCGUCGCCAACGCCUCGUCUUCCCACGGACUGGCCGCUGGGACGGCCGCCGGGAUCGCUCCCGGCGCACACCUGGCCGUGUACAAGGCCUGCAGACCUAGUGGGUGCCUCCGUUCGAAUAUAAUUCGUGCGAUUGACACGGCGGUGAGCGAUGGGGUCGACGUGAUCAACAUCUCCCUCGGCCGUAAACCGGGACUACCACUCGGAAGGGACGUUGUGGCCAUUGGCGCAUUUCGCGCGGUGGCCAAGGGUGUCGUCUUCGUGACUUCUGCUGGCAACGACGGCCCCGACCUGUCCACCGUCAAGAACGAAUCGCCGUGGAAGAUCACAGUGGGCGUCGGGUCGGUGGAUCGGAGCCUCUUCGCCGACCUUGUGCUAAAGUCGGGCGAGCUGGUCGAAGGAGAGGCGCUGGUGCAGGGGUCCAACUCGACCGCCUACCAACCCCUCCACUAUCCCGACGAUGGUAACAUGUGCAAGAAGGUGAGUGCCGACCGCAUGAGGGGCCACAUCGUGAUAUGCGACGAUGCGUUGGUUAACGUUGACACUCAGGCCCGCAUCAUCAAAAAUCUCUACGACAAUGGCGCAGCUCAAGUCGUGCUCAUCGGUCUGGAGAAAGCUGGUUUCACCUUGGGCUUCAGGGAGUAUGGCUCUUCCAUCGUGUAG